rnacentral:rRNA from 1 species
CAGUAGCCGCGGGAAUACAGAGGGUGCGAGCGUUAAUCGGAUUUACUGGGCGUAAAGCGUGCGUAGGCGGCUUCUUAAGUCGGAUGUGAAAUCCCUGAGCUUAACUUAGGAAUUGCAUUCGAUACUGGGAAGCUAGAGUAUGGGAGAGGAUGGUAGAAUUCCAGGUGUAGCGGUGAAAUGCGUAGAGAUCUGGAGGAAUACCGAUGGCGAAGGCAGCCAUCUGGCCUAAUACUGACGCUGAGGUACGAAAGCAUGGGGAGCAAACAGGAUUAGAUACCCCCGUAGUCCCUGUCUCUUUACA